GAAUUAUCAAGAGAGACUGAGGGAAGGGCCCGAUGAAGUCCAGCAACCUCCCAUAAUGGAAAGGUGCCAAUUCCUACAGUUUGUUACUGGAAGAUAAAAG
rnacentral:ncRNA from 2 species